UGUGAAUCACCAGGUUUACACACUUCACAGCACUCACCAAAGCAUAUACCCUCCCCAAUGUCCAUAAUCCCACCCUCUUCUCCCAACCCCCCUCCUCCCAGCAACCCUCAGUUUGUUUUGUGAGAUUAAGAGUCACUUAUGGUUUGUCUCCCUCCCAAUCCCAUCUUGUUUCAUUUAUUCUUCUCCUACCCACUUAAGCCCCCAUGUUGCAUCACCACUUCGUCAUAUCAGGGAGAUCAUAUGAUAGUUGUCUUUCUCUGCUUGACUUAUUUCGCUAAGCAUGAUACGCUCUAGUUCCAUCCAUGUUGUCGCAAAUGGCAAGAUUUCAUUUCUUUUGGUGGCUUCAUAGUAUUCCAUUAUGUAUAUAUACCACAUCUUCUUUAUCCAUUCAUCUGUUGAUGGACAUUUAGGUUCUUUCCAUAGUUUGGCUAUUGUGGACAUUGCUGCUACAAACAUUCGGGUGCACGUGCCCCUUUAAAUCACUACGUUUGUAUCUUUAGGGUAAAUACCCAGUAGUGCAAUUGCUGGGUCAUAGGGCAGUUCUAUUUUCAACAUUUUGAGGAACCUCCAUGCUGUUUUCCAGAGUGGCUGCACCAGCUUGCAUUCCCACCAACAGUGUAGGAGGGUUCCCCUUUCUCCGCAUCCUCGCCAGCAUCUAUCAUUUUCAGGUCAGAAAGUUUGAAAGAAGAGCAUGACAAUUACCCUCAACAUUGAUUCAAUACCAGCCUGUGAGACCUACUCUCCUUCCUCAAGUGGAGAAUGUCCAGUGUGGAGGGAGGGAGUCGGUGAACAGUUUCUUCAACCAAGGAAAUCUUCAUUGCUCAAGGAAACAUCUAAUGUGAGAUUAAAGCACGAGACUUUACCCAGCACUUCCUGUUUUGGUCAUUCAUCUGGGGAUGCUGGCUCUUUAUUUUCUACAAGAAGUUGCAUGAAAAAGACAUGGAAACAAACAAGAAUAAAACAAGAAGAGAAAAUAAUGAGGCUGCAUCACUGGGAGGAAAGAUCUGACUCCGGCCUCCCAGCAGGAACUGUCUUAUUGGAGAGCAAUCCAAAGAGAAUACACAAUGGGAGCCCAUGCUUCUUAUCUUGAUGAAAUAGCCUCUAAAUAAUAAAUAAAUAAACACGCACAUAUCAUCCCAGUCG
rnacentral:lncRNA from 1 species